GGAUGGUCGUAUAAAUCCGAUCUGACCGUUGGAUCAUUGUAUAAAUUCGAUUAGACCGUCAGAUCGUCAUUUAUUUUAUUUUAUGAGUUGUUGGCUAAAUUCAAGUCACUUAUAAUUAGGUGUUUGACGGUUUGAUUUGGCGGACGAAUUGUGAUUCUUAUUCGAGUUAUAAGAAGACGCAGCGGGAUUAGAGCGGGAAAUCCUACAGGUCAGGAGAAUCGAGAAGGUGAUCAGGCUGCUUAGAGUAGUGGUAUUUGAGUUACAGCAUUAUUGUGAGUUUCGUUAUGUUCAUUUCGAACUUAUCAAUUUGGAAUUUGUGAUAGUGUGCUGUAAUAAGAAAUUGAGGAGUUGGGUAAUGUAAUAUUGAGUGGUGUGAGGCGUGUUACUCUGAAAGAAAAAUUUAGAUUGGUAUUUGUAUUUGUAAUUA